UCGUGCCAGAUUACAUCAUCACCGAAACCAUAUGCUCAGCCAGAGUCACGUGACUGACGACAACGUUGCCAGGCAACAAGAUGGCUACGAGGCACCGUGUCUGACGAGUGCGGUCAUCAGUCGCGUCAAUCCGCCUUCUUACUGUGACAUAGCAGUAGUUCGUAGAGUAACUAGUCAGACCCUGGGUCAGAUUCAGCGUGGGAGGCCGGGUUUGCUGAGGGGUCAGCAAAGGCCACAACUGGACCAGUUGAAACCCAAGAGGAGUUCAAGGGAGAGAACUGGGAAUGAAGCCACAAAACAAAUGUAAGUAUACUUCCCAAGCAAGUAAGACCAUCUGUUCGUGUCUUGCUGAAAGCCAUACCAUAAUUAAGUUCAUGUAUUUAUAUAAUGAGUUUCACCCUUACCCAACGUGUAUAUUGAUAAACACUGUUUGUUCAUUGCUUGUAUUUAUCCAGCUGUGAAAGACGAAGAAUAGAAGUCUUUCUUCAGGUAGAGUACUGGAGUACAUGUACAGUGUAGCUUGUUAUUGAAUUAGCAGACCCACUGACGCUUAGAAUCUUAUUAUAGUUGCUAAACAAACGCAAUCAGGUUAGUAGGUUUGAAAUUUUUUUGGGGUGCCUGUCUUUUUUAACUUGACUUGUAACUUGGAUGUUUGUUUAAGAGUCAAGGAGCUUCUAAAGUUGAUAUUGGCUUUGGAGUUUUCAUAACACACCAACAAGUGGAAGCAGUUAAAGCCUCCCUAGAAGCUGACAAUCUGAAGGUUGUUCUGCGGCAUCUGCUCACCGUCCUUUCCAGCAGAGAUGAGCUCUGUCAAGCCUGCUACAAAGGACAGAAAGGCAAAGGGAGCAACCGUUAAGCUCUUCCUUGGAGAGCUGCUCAAGCGGCACAAGAUUUCAUCCAUCAAGUUGCUGUGGGGAACAACCUAAGUCGCUUGAAGAAUAGUGAAAUAACAAGGACGAUAAAAAGUGCGUGCUCCAACGCGCGACGUGUGCCAAAACUGUGAGAUUAAUCCAUUAUAUGCCUAUCAUGGUGCAGUUGACACUCAUUAUUAACACAGGCUCGGCUAAGAAGAGAAACCGGUUCAGACAAGCAUUUUUCACUGGUCCUCAAUGAAGUGUGUGCAUUCCUGUGAGGAAAAAAUCUGUAAGACGAACUCAGUUGACGGGAGAUUUCAGUUAUGGCAAACAUUUUUCUCAUCUGGUCGAGUGCAAAUAUAUUGUGUGAUUAUUUUAGCAAAACACGUUGAAAAGAAAAUGUUCAUCAACAAAACCUUUCAAUCAACCAUUAGGCUUGCUAAUCUAUCGUGCCAUGGUGCUAAUGGCACUCACUUGCUCUUUACAGAGUGGACAAUGGGCGUUCAGUCAAACAAUAACAGGCAACAAGAUGCCCGAUUUCAGAAAAACUUGCUAAACCUAUAAAUGAGUGGAAAGAAACAAUUCCAUGUGUGGAAUCAUGCAGUUACAUGUAUACGAGUGAAAAAAUGGUUUCCGCUUAAUUUGAGAUAAGCAUGGAUAAUACACCAUAAUUUAGCAUAAGGAAGUACAAAGCUCAUUAUUAUCACUCAAAGUGAAAGAUUUGCCCAAACGCCAUAGAGCAGUCUCUCUUUUGUAUGUGUAGUCUUGGAAGGAGCUGGUUUCUACUAAACAUUUUAAACAAUGUAUUCUGUCUGUCAUCAGUCUCCUGAUGAUAGGCAGAACGUACUGGCAGAAAUAGGGAGUAAUAAGUACCUCCUGUCAGUGCCAAACAAGAGAGGUAAAUUACUCCAUCGUGAGAGUACAAACCUCAUACCUUGUAUUGUCCCACUACACAAACCAUCAUAUCUUAGGCCUAUUUAGAAUGAUCUUGCAAUUUUGUGAUGUUUUUUCUUGCAAUUUUAGAACACCUUUCAUCCUUACAAAUAAAUUUGAACAAUUUUGCAUUUGGAGAUGUAGUUCAAUUGAGAAUGUUUGAAGCAUUCACAUUUAAUGUUAAACACUCACAGAACUACAGGUUGGUCAUUAGAUGUUUCAGGAGAUGUAUUAUGGAUGUAUUUUCCUUCUACCAAUUAACAUAUAUUUAACAACACUUUUUUUCUCAGUGCUCACCUGGCUGGAACUGGAACACAGCCUCCCACUUACUGGUAUGAACCCCGUAAGACCGUUUGACCACCAACCUUGCCAGUGUUGGCUGACUAGCUGGUUUGAGUCAGUUGCAGCAGUGUAUACUAAAGAUGUAUUUUGCAUCAGGCAUGUGUAAUUAAUUUUUUUUGGGUUUUCAUUUUAGCAACUUAUGUAACAACACUAUUUGCUUGGUGCAUACCAAUUAAGAGGAGAAAGUCAUGCUUGCAAGUCACUCAAUUAAGCCUCUGAAUUUUUCACUAACUCUUGGUAAGCUCUGAGCAAAAAGUGUUGUUGCAUUGCGAAAGAAAAAAACUAAGUCUCAAUUACAUCUCCCUGACGCAGAGUAUAUAUCUUUAGUAAGUGUUUGAACCUGGUCUCCGCCCUUCAGCUGAUUCAAACCGGACAACUGAUGCUGGCAUGUUCAUUGGUGAAAUGGUUGAACUUCUAAGCAGGGGGUUGUAGGUUCAUUUCCCUAUCGAGUAAGCUUGUGAAGUUUUUGCCAGUACUUGGUAAGCACUGAGCAAACUGUGUUAUUACAUACCAAAAAUUUAAAUCAUCAUAUGUUUGCAUAUCCUUCAGAGGAUUGUACGUGUAUACUGUAUAAUGAGAUACCUCACCAGUUUUCAGCUGGGGGUGUAUUGUCUUUAGUAAGACUACGAACUUUAUCAGUUUACAGGGGCACAGAUUUUAAAUGAACUUUCAGUGAAUUUCUCAAAAAAAAAUACCCAAUUUGAAUUAGGAUAUCUCACCAAGUUAACUUUAGCCAGAGGCAGAACUGUAUUGUCAUUACCCAAGGUACCUGUAAUCAGUAGGCAGUAACAAAUAAAAUAUGCUAAA